ACUAACUGUUACUGAGGGACUUGCUCUCUCCACCGGACUCAGGUGUGUGUGUGUGUGUCGGUAAAAGAAGUGUUAUGGAUCAACUGGGGAUCGUGUUAACUGGGGAUGUGCGCGUGCACGCAAGUGUGUUUACCUGAUUUCCAGCAGAUCGAGACGGCGACAGAUUCACUGCAGUAUUCCACGGGUCAUAGAUUAUAAAACGUGUUUCAUCAGUUUUAUACAUUGGCAUCAUGCAUAAAGCGGUUUGAUUCCGCGGAGUCCGUACCUGCGUAUUUCACACGGUUUUAGGGAAGUUUACCAUGCUCACAAACCACUGUUUCAAUGGGUGAUCAAACUCUACAACGAACUGAAGUAAAAAUUGGUGACAACCUCACUAACAUUUGGAUUCAGCCUUUGUGAAGAUUUUAGAUGACCCUAACACCUGUGAAGAGAUAACAUCCCUGAAAAAAACAUCCAGCCCGUUUCCAGUCCAGAUGGUGGAUCAGCACCUAGAGAAGACCACAACAGCUCUGAAUGUCAGUGGAGACAUGUGCCCUACAGACAGAUCCCCUGUGAAGACCUUGUCACAGACAGCCAUCAGCACAACUGAACUGAGCCGGACAAUAACAUCACUGAAUCAACCAUGAACUGACUUGAACUGAGAAACUGACUGUUUACUAUUGUCUUCAUUUUAGAACUGCUUUACGGCUGAAAUGAACUUUGUUUGCAUUAUUGACGUAUUAUUUCAGUAUUUAACACUGUGAAGCUCCUUUGACACAAUAUGCAUUGUAUA